GACGAACGCUGGCGGCGUGCUUAACACAUGCAAGUCGAACGGAAAGGCCCUGCUUGCAGGGUGCUCGAGUGGCGAACGGGUGAGUAACACGUGGGUGAUCUGCCCUGCACUUCGGGAUAAGCCUGGGAAACUGGGUCUAAUACCGGAUAGUAGCCAUUUUUAGUGUGGUGGUUGGAAGGUUUUUUCGGUGUAGGAUGAGCUCGCGGCCUAUCAGCUUGUUGGUGGGGUAAUGGCCUACCAAGGCGGCGACGGGUAGCCGGCCUGAGAGGGUGGACGGCCACAUUGGGACUGAGAGAAGGCCCAGACUCCUACGGGAGGAAGAAGGGGGGAAGAUUGCACAAGGGGAGCAAGGCUGAUGCAGCGACGCCGCGGGGGGGAUGACGGCCUUCGGGGUGGAAACUCGUUUUGCUAGGGACGAAGCUUUUUGUGACGGUACCUAGAUAAGAAGCACCGGCUAACUACGUG
rnacentral:rRNA from 1 species